UCUCUGACGUCAUCUGCAAGCGCCAACUACUUAAAGGGAAAGAAGCAUUCCUCUUCUAAAAACAGUCUCAAUUAGCUUAAGUACUGACAUGUGGUACUUGGUGCCACUGCAUUAUUGCCAAGUAGUCUGCCUGCCUAUGGAAAAGUCAUCUGUGAUAAAGGAGCUCUGGAAUCAUCGAGUAGAAAGGUCUUUUCAUCAGAUUGGCUGGCCCAGAACUGAUUCUGCUGCAGAAUGGCCAAAAGAGGGAGGCAGCUUGUUGGCCAAGGACUCCAGGAUUCUGAACAAAUAUGAAUCCUCAUAUGUGAUAUAAUCUGUUCUUGCAUUUUGCUUUGUAUACAGUAUUGUGCUAUUACUAUUGUACUAUUGCAUUUUAUUGUAUUCCUUAGGUGGUAUUGAUAGAUUGGCUAUCUAGAUCUGUGAAGAGGAUUACUUGUGUUCUGUUUGGUGUAUUGUAUUUACCCCAUUUUUUGACACCCAUUGCACACCCAACAUACCUGGAAAGGGGUCUCUCUCUGAAUUGCCUUUCUCAAGAUUUCUGACAUUUUUUUCCCUACGAGGGUACAAGGUUUUUUUUGGGAGUUCUUCCUUGUCUUCUUAGGGAGUCAAGGCUGGGGGGCUGCCAAAAAACAGGGCCUGUUUAUGCCCAUUGCUGCACUCUUUGUGUGAUUUUGGGCUAUGCAAAAAAUAAAUAGUUGUUGUUGUUGCUGAUAAAAACCCAAGGAAAAUAUUAAAUAAAGCAGAUGAUCAUAACAGUGCCACUACAAUUUAAGAAAAACUGAGCAACCGUCAAACUUAAACUUUAUUGCCAGGCAAUAUUUUUGCUUGGAAUAC